rnacentral:rRNA from 1 species
UACGUAGGUGGCCAGCGUUGUCCGGAUUUACUGGGCGUAAAGAGCGCGCAGGCGGUCGUUCAAGUCGAGUGUGAAAGCCCCCGGCUCAACUGAGGAGGGUCAUUCGAUACUGAUCGACUGGAAGGCAGGAGAGGGAAGCGGAAUUCCCGGUGUAGUGGUGAAAUGCGUAGAUAUCGGGAGGAACACCAGUGGCGAAGGCGGCUUCCUGGCCUGUUCUUGACGCUGAGGCGCGAAAGCUAGGGGAGCAAACGGG